rnacentral:rRNA from 1 species
AGUGAACGCUGGCGGUAGGCCUAACACAUGCAAGUCGAACGGCAGCACAGUAAGAGCUUGCUCUUACGGGUGGCGAGUGGCGGACGGGUGAGGAAUACAUCGGAAUCUACUUUUUCGUGGGGGAUAACGUAGGGAAACUUACGCUAAUACCGCAUACGACCUACGGGUGAAAGCAGUGGAUCUUCGGACCUUGCGCGAUUGAAUGAGCCGAUGUCGGAUUAGCUAGUUGGCGGGGUAAAGGCCCACCAAGGCGACGAUCCGUAGCUGGUCUGAGAGGAUGAUCAGCCACACUGGAACUGAGACACGGUCCAGACUCCUACGGGAGGCAGCAGUGGGGAAUAUUGGACAAUGGGCGAAAGCCUGAUCCAGCCAUACCGCGUGAGUGAAGAAGGCCUUCGGGUUGUAAAGCCCUUUUGUUGGGAAAGAAAAGCAGCAGGUUAAUACCCCGCUGUUCUGACGGUACCCAAAGAAUAAGCACCGGCUAACUUCGUG